UCAGAACGAACGCUGGCGGCAGGUCUUAGGCAUGCAAGUCGAACGGAUGACAAGGGAGCUUGCUCCUUGAAGUCAGUGGCGCACGAGUGAGUAACGCGUGGGAAACUGCCCUUCACUGGGGAAUAACGUUUGGAAACGAACGCUAAUACCGCAUACGCCCGCAAGGGGAAAGAUUUAUCGGUGAUGGAUGUGCCCGCGUUGGAUUAGCUAGUUGGUGGGGUAAUGGCCUACCAAGGCGAUGAUCCAUAGCUGGUCUGAGAGGACGAUCAGCCACGCUGGAACUGAGACACGGUCCAGACUCCUACGGGAGGCAGCAGCUAAGAAUAUUGGGCAAUGGAGGAAACUCUGACCCAGCCAUUGCCGCGUGAAUGAAGAAGGCCUUCGGGUUGUAAAGUUCUUUUAGUCAUGAAGAUGAUGACAGUAGUGACAGAAAAAGCACCGGCUAACUUCGUGCCAGCAGCAGC
rnacentral:rRNA from 1 species